rnacentral:rRNA from 1 species
UACAGAGGGUGCAAGCGUUGUUCGGAAUUAUUGGGCGUAAAGGGCGUGUAGGCGGUUUGCUAAGUCAUGUGUGAAAUCCCCCGGCUUAACCGAGGAACGACGCAUGAUACUGGCAAGCUAGAGUACCAAAGAGGGGGGUGGAAUUCCCGGUGUAGCGGUGAAAUGCGUAGAUAUCCGGAGGAACACCGGUGGCGAAGGCGGCUUCCUGGACCGACACUGACGCUGAGGCGCGAAAGCUAGGGGAGCAAACGGG